GUAGGGAAUCUUGCGCAAUGGGCGAAAGCCUGACGCAGCAACGCCGCGUGGGGGAUGAAGGCCCUCGGGUUGUAAACCCCUUUCAGCAGGAACGAAAAUGACGGUACCUGCAGAAGAAGGUCCGGCCAACUACGUGCCAGCAGCCGCGGUAACACGUAGGGGCCAAGCGUUGUCCGGAUUUAUUGGGCGUAAAGAGCUCGUAGGCGGUUCGACAAGUCGGGUGUGAAAACUCCGGGCUCAACCCGGAGACGCCACCCGAUACUGUCGUGACUGGAGUCCGGUAGGGGAGUGGGGAAUUCCUGGUGUAGCGGUGAAAUGCGCAGAUAUCAGGAGGAACACCGGUGGCGAAGGCGCCACUCUGGGCCGGUACUGACGCUGAGGAGCGAAAGCGUGGGUAGCAAACAGGAUUAGAAACCCCUGUAGUCC
rnacentral:rRNA from 1 species